UACGUAGGGGGCAAGCGUUGUCCGGAUUUAUUGGGCGUAAAGCGCUCGCAGGCGGUCCGAUGCGUCGGGCGUGAAAGACCCCGGCUCAACUGGGGAGGGUCGUGCGAUACGGUCGGACUCGAGGCCAGUAGGGGGACGCGGAAUUCCGGGUGUAGUGGUGGAAUGCGUAGAGAUCCGGAGGAACACCAGCGGCGAAGGCGGCGUCCUGGACUGGUACUGACGCUCAGGAGCGAAAGCCAGGGGAGCAAACGGG
rnacentral:rRNA from 1 species